rnacentral:rRNA from 1 species
CCUACGGGUGGCAGCAGUGGGGAAUAUUGCACAAUGGGGGAAACCCUGAUGCAGCGACGCCGCGUGAGUGAAGAAGUACUUCGGUAUGUAAAGCUCUAUUAGCAGGGAAGAAAAUGACUGCACUUGACUAAGAAGCGCCGGCUAACUACGUGCCAGCAGCCGCGGUAAUACGUAGGGGGCAAGCGUUAUCCGGAUUUACUGGGUGUAAGGGGAGCGUAGACGGUUAGACAAGUCGGAAGUGAAAGCCCAGGGCUAAACUCUGGGACUGCUUUUGAAACUGCCGGGCUGGAGUGCAGGAGAGGUAAGCGGAAUGCGUGGUGUAGCGGUGAAAUGCGUAGAUAUUAGGAAGAACACCAGUGGCGAAGGCGGCUUACUGGACUGUAACUGACGUUGAGGCACGAAAGCGUGGGGAGCAAACAGGAUUAGAUACCCGAGUAGUC